AAAUGUGUCCUGACUUUCCUGA
rnacentral:miRNA from 1 species